GCUAAUUCCAAGGGAAGUAAUCCAUGAGGAAAAAUUUACCUGCUUGAAACAGCACAGGAAGGAAGAAAGAUUAAAUUCAUAGCCACAGAUAUAGAAUUUCCUGACAGAAAGUUGAAGAUGCGGGUAGAGGUCAUGAUGAAGCUGUAGAGGUCGUGAUGACGGUAUCAGGAGUAAUCAAUAGAAGAACCCUUGUAAGAAGAUUGAACUGUUGGAUAAUUCUGAUUGUGAGCAUCAAGUGUUUUGAUGCAGUUAAGAAUUUGAUGAGAACAUUAUAGUUUCUAUUUUGGUUUUAAGGAGAUCUGAGCAUGGUUGGCUAUAACAUGGCAUUUGUAUUUGUGGAGGAAUCCAUAGUACCAAGAGAGAACCAAGACAAAUGGCAGAACGAUGACAAUGUUUGUCAAUUAAGAUAGGAAUUGAACACACCUCGCCAUGAGCAGGUUUAGGACUUUUGGAGUUGACUGGAUC